AUGAUUGAAAAAUCCAGGGCAAACUAUCCUCGCGUACGUGCGACACUCCCACAACAGCUCCGCGGCUGCUCACCACCAACAACACUGGUCCCGGUGAAAACGGGACAGAUCGCACAGUCGCGACAUCCACUUCCCCUAUAUCCCCCCUCUCCAGCCUUAUCCACCCCUUCAAAUGGAGGAAAAAGAGAUUCCUCCUCAGAAACGGAGGAAUCGGUGUCCGAUCGGAUGACAGCAGCGUCUCCUCCUACAUCAGCGGAUGGAGCUGCGUGCGCGCACACUAGAUUGAUUCCACACGGCCACGGAUGAUUGACAGGGAGAGAAGUCGGGAGCAGGCGAGAGAAGGCGGGAACUGUGCGAGCUCGCGUUCUGGAGGCGGAUAACAGGAACUGUCAAGUUUGGUCGACGGCACAAAUCAGUCGGGCAUUCUGAGAGCGCGCGCUGCCGGGGUGUGUCGCUCAUUCUGAGGGAAUAGUGUUACUUCCACAGAAGUCUCGCGGUAGAGAACACAUUUCCGCAUAAACCAUGGACGGUUCUCACUUAAGAUUAGAUAAAUAUACGUUAAUGAUGCCAAGCGGGAAAUUGUGAAUACGAUUUAUAAUAAUAAUAAUAAUAAUGAAACGAAAUAAUUAUGAUUUGCUAUUUCCCUUAUCAAAUCAUUAAAGUACUUUACUAAUACCACUAAGAAAAAUGCAUGCAAUGGCAUGGAAUUACUGUCCCUCACACAAAUAUAAUAAUAUAACCACCUUUACGAAGACAGAAAUUAAAAAAGUAGGUUAUGAACAUAUUGGACAUAUAACAACAUAUAUGACAAAUCUAUGUCUUGGUAUCGCCUGUGUAAGCUGUUAAUAAUUUAACGAUGCUGUAAUUAAACAUCACAGUUGUUGGACUCUGCCUACAUCUAGUGGACACACCUGGUAUUACAUGUUGAAAAUGUUUUAUCAGGGGCAUACUAGAAACUUCCAGCCAGGUGUCUUGAGGCAAGUUGGAGCUAAACUCUGCAGGACACCGGACCGAGUUUGGAGACCCCCAGUUUAUAUCAAUCAAGUCCUCUUGGUCUUGGUGGAUGCUGAAUGUUAUGCAGAUGUUUAUAUAAGAUGCAUGGAAAUAUAUAAAGUGUAGCAGAUAAACUUAUACAGAAAACCUACAGCGAUAUCGUGUAAAUCAAUCAAAUAAUCUGACAAAAGGAUGACUAUUAUUAUAUAUAUAUAUAUAAAAGGGAUAUGCCGGUAUCAAAUUUUCAUGUUGCAAUUAAUUGCUAAUGCUUUUAUCACGGUAUUGAAAUUUAGUUUAAAAAAUGUGGUCAUAAUAUACAAACCCGAUUCCAAAAAAGUUGGGACACUGUACAAAUUGUGAAUAAAAA
ensembl:lncRNA